rnacentral:SRP_RNA from 1 species
CCUAUGCAAUAUGAACCCAUGAACCAUGUCAGGUCCUGACGGAAGCAGCAUUAAGUGGAUCCUCAUAUGUGCCGUAGGGUAGCCGAGAUUUAGCUGUCGACUUCGGUAACGUUUAUGAUAUGCGUUCGAUACAAAGGUGCAUGG